rnacentral:rRNA from 1 species
AGAGAUAGAGGAGUGCUCGAAAGAGAGCCGUAACACAGGUGCUGCAUGGCUGUCGUCAGCUCGUGUCGUGAGAUGUUGGGUUAAGUCCCGCAACGAGCGCAACCCUUGUCAUUAGUUGCUACAUUCAGUUGGGCACUCUAAUGAGACUGCCGGUGACAAACCGGAGGAAGGUGGGGAUGACGUCAAGUCCUCAUGGCCCUUAUAGGUGGGGCUACACACGUCAUACAAUGGCUGGUACAGAGGGUUGCCAACCCGCGAGGGGGAGCCAAUCCCAUAAAGCCAGUCGUAGUCCGGAUCGCAGUCUGCAACUCGACUGCGUGAAGUCGGAAUCGCUAGUAAUCGCGGAUCAGAAUGUCGCGGUGAAUACGUUCCCGGGUCUUGUACACACCGCCCGUCACACCAUGGGAGCGGGUCUCGCCAGAAGUAGGUAGCCUAACCGCAAGGAGGGCGCUUACCACGGCGGGGUUCGUGACUGGGGUGAAGUCGUAACAAGGUAACCGUA